rnacentral:rRNA from 1 species
AGCAGCCGCGGUAAUUCCAGCUCCAAUAGCGUAUAUUAAAGUUGUUGCAGUUAAAAAGCUCGUAGUUGAAUUUCGAGACCGGCUUACUGGUCGUGCUAUUGUACGUACUGGUAUAAUCGGUUUCUCCUUUCUGACGAACUAUAAUGCCAUUAAUUUGGUGUUUUAGGGAAUCAGGACUGUUACUUUGAAAAAAUUAGAGUGUUUAAAGCAGGCUCACGCUUGAAUACAUUAGCAUGGAAUAACGGAAUAGGACGUUUGAUUCUAUUUUGUUGGUUUCUAGGAUCGACGUAAUGAUUAAUAGGGAUAGUUGGGGGCAUUAGUAUUCAAUUGUCAGAGGUGAAAUUCUUGGAUUUAUUGAAGACUAACUACUGCGAAAGCAUUUUGCCAAGGAUGUUUUCAUUAAUCAAGAACGAAAGUUAGGGGAUCGAAGACGAUCAGAUACCGUCGUAGUCUUAACCAUAAACUAUGCCGACUAGGGAUCG